rnacentral:snRNA from 1 species
CCACUUUUGUGGACUAUGAA